ACUACGGGAGGCAGCAGUGGGGAAUAUUGGGCAAUGGGCGCAAGCCUGACCCAGCAACGCCGCGUGAAGGAAGAAGGCUUUCGGGUUGUAAACUUCUUUUCUGAGGGACGAAGAAAGUGACGGUACCUCAGGAAUAAGCCACGGCUAACUACGUGCCAGCAGCCGCGGUAAUACGUAGGUGGCAAGCGUUAUCCGGAUUUAUUGGGUGUAAAGGGCGUGUAGGCGGGAAAGCAAGUCAGAUGUGAAAACUCAGGGCUCAACCCUUAGCCUGCAUUUGAACCUGUUUUUCUUGAGUGCUGGAGAGGCAAUCGGAAGUCCGUGUGUAGCGGGGAAAUGCGUAGCUAUACGGAGGAACACCAGUGGCGAAGGCGGAUUGCUGGACAGUAACUGACGCUGAGGCGCGAAAGCGUGGGGAGCAAACAGGAUUAGAUACCCGGGUAGUC
rnacentral:rRNA from 1 species